AUAAAACAAUUUUAGUUAUUUACAUAAAGUAUUUUAAAAAUCAAUUAAAUAAAAUUUUAAUUGAUGAUUAGUUCCCAUCCAAGCCAGUUUGAUUUCUUAUUUUGAACUUCAAAGGCAUUAAAAAUUAUAGUUAGGUGUAAGUUUAAAAGUGAGAUUAAGUGGUAAUUAGGAUCAACAUAGUUAGUAAACCUAGUGUCGUCUCUUAUAAGUAAGGGGUCAUGAAUAGAAAUCCAACUCUAUUCCCAUAACAUAUGCGUAAGAGAUUGAGAAAAUGAAAGGUAAAAUUAGGAACCAAAACAUAAAUAAAUAUGUAUAUUUAACUUAUUUUAUACGUAAAUUGCAUCAUGCCUAUUGUGCUUUAAAUCUAUAAUAAAAAAAGAUUAAAUAAGAAUUUCUGAAAAAAAUAAAUAUAAAUAAUGAUACUAAAUUUACAUAAAAUAAAGAAAUUAAUCACAACAUUUUUAAUUUAUGAAAAUUUUUUAAUUAAAUUUAAUUUAUCUUGAAUCUA
rnacentral:misc_RNA from 1 species